AGUCAGAUUGAACAUGUUGUUUAGUUAAUUAUUGUAUGUGAAGUUUUUGUUUGUUGUCUUGAUUGAGGCAAAAAAAAAGAAAGACAAAAAAGUCUGACUCGGAUGCCGCAGAGCAGAAACGAGUGCCUACCACUCCAAGGGGUUUCUCGACGGUACGCAGAAAAUAGCACCAUCAGGGGGCGCUGUGGCCUGUUUGUACUGUUCAAUACCCCCGUAACAAGGCCCCUGCCAGUCACUCUGCGUUAAUUCGGCCGCCGGGACUUUUAAAAGCCCGCAGCCUGUCUACUGUAUUUCAGAGGCCGGAGGAAGAAUAAUUUUGUCUCAACUCAACCCUCCAUUUCUGACAGAGUCCUGCUGUUAGCUCUACUUACCAAACAGGUGCACAUGUUAGCAAGGAGCAGCAGCUAUCUCACUGCAGGUAGCUGAAGGCAACCCUGAUGAUGACGAUGGUGCUGGGAGACGUCAUUUAUGCUGGAUUGGACUCAAACUGACAGCUGCUGGAUGAAAGCAUCAUUGGGCUUAAUGAAUGAGGCGGUCAAGGGAAAACAGCAACUUAUCCCAGAUCUGUGCUCGCACUUUAAUCUUGAUGAAUCGGAGUCAAGCGGGAGCCGCUCAGCCGAGAGCAGCAAUGUGCCAGGUUGCCUUUCAAAGCAAUCAUCAUAAGGCCCCUUCUCAGUGACAGCACAGCCCGUGGCCCGAGCUCGCCUCCCGCCACUCGUUUUGUAUUCAGCACACUAUCUUCCAUCGCUGUGUCACAACAUUAUGGGAGGAAUGACUAUGAAAAUUACAUGCACCAUGUGCCCAGUGGAUAAGGAUCACACAGCAUACUGUUGACUGCAGUCAGACAUCUAUUAAUCUGUGUUCCUGCUUCUCUGAUUUGGUGCCAUGAUGGAGACAGUUCUGAUAGAAGAGCCACAGUGCCCCCUGGUGGAAGAAUUACACACAAGUUAGGAGUCUGUGUGUCUGUAUGUGUUGGGGGGUGGGGGUUCUAUGUGGACUCAGAUGACACAAGUAAAUUGGUAUUAGUACAAAAAGGAAAGAGAAAUGUCUAAUCCUUCAAUGUCAACAUGGAUACAUUUCAGAAGGUUUAGUUGAGCAUUCACAAUUUGAAGACCUUGAAUCAUUAACUUCAAGUCAAUAUUUUCCUUUUUGUAAUGUAGUAUAUCAAAUAGCAUAUUUAAUAAUGUUGAAAUAACUGCAAUUUGGUACUAAUUAUAAUGAAAAUAUGAAGAGACAAUAUUCGAAGACAGUUGUUGGAGUUAUUUGUGGUGAGUUUAUGAGCGUUUUUUCAGAAGAAACUCCUUACGAGAACUGUUCAAAUAUUGAAAGCAAAGCCUCUAUUCGCUUAUCACUAGAAACUUUACUCUCUGUUAAGUUGUAUUACCUGGCCUGUAUAGAGAAAUUUUGACCUGCUGGGCACUGACUAAAAGACUCUCUAAUGUUUCAACAUCUUCUUCUUCCAUGUAUUACAGUAUUUAUUACUGCAGAGCACAAACAGACCACAAAUAUUACAGUUUAUGGGAGGACACCACAGGUGAAUAGGGUAGAAAUUAACUUAAUUUAACUCAUAGAUAUCACCAUGAUACUCCCUCAAUUGAUUACUUCCAUUAAGACAAUACAUUUUUAUAUUACAAGUUUUCGGAAAUGUUAAGUUCAAAUAUGCUAAUUUGCAUACAUUUCCAGAAAUCUGAACAUUGGAUAAAGCCAGGUUAAAAAUUCUUAUUUCAUUUUGUUGACAUAUUUGAGUCAAAGGUUUUUUUACAGAGGGAAUUUUAGAUAUCUAUCUUUAUCACUCCAUAAAUCAGAAAAUACUGUCAACAGCUUUAAAAAUAAAUCAAUUUUCAUCAUGUUUUUAGGAAUAAAAUGUGAUAUAAAUCAGGCUAUGAAUGAUAUAUGAACAAAUCCCUCUGUAGGGGUAAACCUUCAGAACAUAGAUCGCAAUAAUACUGGAAGGUUUGGUGUAUGUAAGUGCUACUGUACUGGAGAUGUAUGGCCCAGAGUAUGUGAAAAAAAAAACUAAUUUUGAGAAAAACAGCCUUUAAAGAUAUGUAUUGUAAAAUACACAACAGGUGAAGAGGGCUACAAUUUUUAACUAAUAGAAACCAUCAUGACACUUCCCCAGCUGAUUACUUUUUGACAAUUAUUUUUUGUAUUACAAGUUAUCUUAAAUGUUAUGUUUGAAUAUGCAAAUGAGGCAUUAUGUAAUGCUAACUUUUGGUGAAAUCUACAGAUGCAAACAGACUCAGUGUAGUAAAAUAAACACCUAAAUGUGUAUUUGAGCUAAAGUGUAGAGCUAAAAACAAGCAAUGUAACAAGGACUUGAUGUGCCAUUGCUUGAAACAGACCUAUGGUAGGUUUGGUGCAGAUGGAGACUCAGAGGGUGGGAAGCAGAGGACAUAAUGUUUAUAUUUACCUGUGUGCAGUUUCUGUGCAAUAUUGAUUCUUUGUUUGAUUGAAGAUGAUUGUUUGCUACUGUUGCAGCAGCUAAUCAAAAUAUCAAGAUAUUGCAUCAACUGAAGCGACUGUCAGUUUGGUAUUAAUAGAGUAACAUAGAGUGCUAUCAGAGUGUAAACAACAUAAGUGGAUGGUAAGAAAUUCUGGAGUCAAAGUAAAGAAAAGACAAGUAUUUCUCUGGAGUACAUUAAAUAUGUAUGUUUGAACACUACUACAUAUAAAGGUGGUUCAUUCCUUGGAGUUUAAGUGAUUCUGCGAUAUAGACUUAAAGGAUAGGUUGGGUGAUAUUCUAUCUUUUCUUUUUUCCAAAACAACGAUGAAUGUACCUACUCAAACUACCAAGUCAAACCCGGAUAUAGAGUUCAAUAGACCUUUUUCACUGCAGCCAUUUGAAAUAGUAGGGUAAACACAGGCGUUACUAAUGAUACUAAUUAAGGUUCUGUUUCAUUUAGGUCAAACAUAGUCUGGUUUUGUUUUCAUUCCAUUUUGGCUCACUAAGAAGGCUCUGCUACACUAAAUGGAAUGUAACCUUAAUUAUGUUUACCCUACUGUUUCAUGUCAAAAUUAUUGUUUAAGGGUUAGGGUUGUUAAAAUUGUUUAUUGACAGUGGCACAAAAUAUCAAAUAUUAAAGUGUAGAUUUAAUCAUCUUUCAAAGGAUUCGGUUUUUGUUUGUAGAAAAAUGAAACAAUCUCGGUGAAGUUAGUUCAGUGUAUGUGUUUGUUUCCGUCUCCAGGUCAGUCACAGUGUGGUUGGGAGAGGUAUACCUCACUCUUAGCUGUAUCAUCAUGAUGCUACUACUAGGUGUCAGAAAUCCUAAACAUAGGGACUUUAAAGACAAAAAACACAUAUCAGUCAAAUCCUGACAUCACAGCAUAGAAAAGCAGUCACUCUUGUGUUCAGACUAAACUCUACCAAACAGGACACUUCAAAAGGACACAGGUCAGUUUGGGUUAUAGAG
rnacentral:lncRNA from 15 species